GAAAGAUGAAAAGCACUUUGAAAAGAGAGUUAAAAAGUACGUGAAAUUGUUGAAAGGGAAGCGUUUAUGACCAGACUUGGGCUUGGUUAAUCAUCUGGGGUUCUCCCCAGUGCACUUUUCCAGUCCAGGCCAGCAUCAGUUUUCGCCGGGGGAUAAAGGCUUCGGGAAUGUGGCUCUCUCCGGGGAGUGUUAUAGCCCGUUGCGUAAUACCCUGGCGGGGACUGAGGUUCGCGCAUCUGCAAGGAUGCUGGCGUAAUGGUCAUCAACGACCCGUCUUGAAACACGGACCAAGA
rnacentral:rRNA from 1 species